rnacentral:rRNA from 1 species
GAUGAACGCUGGCGGCGUGCCUAAUACAUGCAAGUCGAGCGAACAGACGAGGAGCUUGCUCCUCUGACGUUAGCGGCGGACGGGUGAGUAACACGUGGAUAACCUACCUAUAAGACUGGGAUAACUUCGGGAAACCGGAGCUAAUACCGGAUAAUAUAUUGAACCGCAUGGUUCAAUAGUGAAAGACGGUUUUGCUGUCACUUAUAGAUGGAUCCGCGCCGCAUUAGCUAGUUGGUAAGGUAACGGCUUACCAAGGCAACGAUGCGUAGCCGACCUGAGAGGGUGAUCGGCCACACUGGAACUGAGACACGGUCCAGACUCCUACGGGAGGCAGCCGUAGGGAAUCUUCCGCAAUGGGCGAAAGCCUGACGGAGCAACGCCGCGUGAGUGAUGAAGGUCUUCGGAUCGUAAAACUCUGUUAUUAGGGAAGAACAAAUGCGUAAGUAACUAUGCACGUCUUGACGGUACCUAAUCAGAAAGCCACGGCUAACUACGUG